AAGGGAGACCUAAUUCAGGUAUGGGACGAAAAAAAAGUAGUCGCUACCAAGAAUCAAUCCCAAAAGGUCGGAGCGAGGUAUGAGGCUUUCAAACUAGGUUCUGGGUUCAAACAAGACCUGAAUCAGGAACAAGGGCUAUUAGCCCAGGUGGUUAGAGCGCACCCCUGAUAAGGGUGAGGUCCCUGGUUCGAGUCCAGGAUGGCCCACCUGCACAGGUGGCAAAAACAAGAGAAGCGAGGAAUCAGCACCUUAUCUUAUCUAUAUAUAUAUAGGAGAGAAUGCUGGCUCUGAGUAAAGAGUCCAGAGGAACCUUGAAAACUGCAUAGAGCUAGGUGAAAAAGCCAAAAAAGAAGACCGCAA
rnacentral:tRNA from 1 species